CACUGCUGAUCUGAUGAGUGCGACUGCAUUACAUUGGAGAACAUCCCUAAUCUAGAGCUGACCUUAGCCGAAGAUAAUUACAACGAGGAAGAAUCUCUCGGUCUGGCAGCAGAGGAGCUAGAUCGUAAGAUAUCAGAUGCU